GUGAGUCAUCGAAUCUUUGAACGCACAUUGCGCCCCCUGGUAUUCCGGGGGGCAUGCCUGUCCGAGCGUCAUUGCAACCUUCAAGCGCGGCUUGUGUGUUGGGCCUCGUCCCCCGUGGACGGGCCCGAAAGGCAGUGGCGGCGCCCGAUCCGGUGCCUGAGCGUAUGGGGAACUUCUCCGCUCUUCAAGGCCCAAUCGGCGCUGGUCGAUAACUAAAUUUUUACCGGUUGACCUCGGAUCAGGUAGGGAUACCCGCUGAACUUAAGCAUAUCAAUAAGCGGAGGA
rnacentral:misc_RNA from 1 species